rnacentral:rRNA from 1 species
GGAGUACGUAGCAGUGCAAAGCAUAGGCCCAGAAUAGUUUCCUCUCACGCAUUAAUGCAAACACACUUGGGGAACAAAGUGCUAGCGAUAUAUCUUAAAAUUUUACAGGAAGCCAAGUUUCCAUAGCUACACAGAUUCAUGGUAAGAGACACAAAAAAUUCUUCGCCUCCAAAUCAUACUGGUAUACUAGCGCCGGAUGGACGAGUUCGCACCAGCGUUUCUUCUUCUGCAACCACACCACCACCCGCCCGCGGCCGCUUCAAACUCCAUUUUCCGCUUCUUCAAAAGGACAAACUCUGUCGAACGGACACUGUGUGAGGUGAUGGAGUGCUUGCACAGGAGGCGAUAGAUGGACUGCUCGCAAGUGAGGUGACGAACUUCUCCUGGUGCACCAAGCACUGACGGGCAGCAGCGGCUUCGUGCUCGGACGGAGACGAGAUUUGGAAAGUGGCAUUUUUCAGGCAUCGUGUGGAAGCCUGCAUCCUUUCCUGAACCUUGACAGUGUACCAAAUAACUUGUAUUAUCAGUAUAUGUUCACAGUACAGAUCAUGGCUCAUAGACUUGGAGGAUUGCAAUAUAAUUAGGCAAAAUGGGAAUCUUUUCAACAGAACAUGUGCUCUGAACAUCAACAUACCGCUACUGUUAUGCAACUGGGUGACGCGGAACUGAAGAUGAGCGCAGUGGCUUGGUCGUGGGCGAAGUACGGGCACUGGUCGCGCCCAAUGGCAAGGGCAGUCCUGUCUAGGCAACCAGUGAAGGUCGGGGAGGUGGGGGAAGGGGUGGGACGCCGGAGGUAGAGAAGGAGAAGAGGAGGCUCACCGGAGGGGAGGGUUGCGGGGUUGUCCGGAUCCGCGUCGGAGCAAGCGGGCGGGAGGGAGGGUGCCCAGGCUAAUGGUUGUCGGGCUUCGUCGACGGCGAUGGUUGCGGGGCAGAGCCGCGCCCGUAGGUAGAGGAGCAUGGGCGCGAUGCAGGAGAGGCCAGAGGUGGUGGUUGCGAUGCUAUUUGGGGAGGGAAAGAGUGGCGGCGGCGCGACCAGGGAGGGAGAUGGCGGUGGCUGGGUGAUCCGGGGAGGGCGGUGGCACUGGCGGCGGGAUUUGAGGAGGGCGGUGGUUCCGGGGAGGGUGCACGGCGGCGGGGGUUCCCGGGAGGGCUCGUGGCGGCGGGGCGUUCCUGGGAGGGCGCGCGCGGCGUGGGGUUCAGGGGAAGGCGCGCGGCGGCGGGAUCAGAGGACGGCGGCGGGAUGAGGGGCUCAGGGGAGCAGAGGUUGCGGUUGGGGAAAGAGGAGGCCCCGGCGGAGGUUUGGGGACGAGGCGGCGGCGAGAUCUGGCAUUCGGCAGGGAGUGGAUCGAGGGAGGAGGUGGGGAUCGGGGCAGCGGGUGGGGUGUGGUGUUUUUUUAAUCGGUCCGGUGGGUUUCGUGAUCUCAUGAACGAGUGAUCGCCCCUAUAUAGGGAUGGCUGUGAUCCAAAUAACCAUUCUAAUCCCAGGAUUAGAAUA